UACGAAGGAGGCUAGAGUUGUUCGGAAUUACUGGGCGUAAAGCGCACGUAGGCGGAUUGCUAAGUCAGUGGUGAAAUCCAGGGGCUCAACCACGGAAAUGCCUUUGAUACUGGCAAUCUCGAGUCCGGAAGAGGUGAGUGGAAUUCCUAGUGUAGAGGUGAAAUUCGUAGAUAUUAGGAAGAACACCAGUGGCGAAGGCGGCUCACUGGUCCGGUACUGACGCUGAGGUGCGAAAGCGUGGGGAGCAAACAGG
rnacentral:rRNA from 1 species